CAGCCGCCGCGGUAAUACAGAGGGUGCAAGCGUUAAUCGGAAUUACUGGGCGUAAAGCGCGCGUAGGUGGUUUGUUAAGUUGGAUGUGAAAUCCCCGGGCUCAACCUGGGAACUGCAUCCAAAACUGGCAAGCUAGAGUAUGGUAGAGGGUGGUGGAAUUUCCUGUGUAGCGGUGAAAUGCGUAGAUAUAGGAAGGAACACCAGUGGCGAAGGCGACCACCUGGACUGAUACUGACACUGAGGUGCGAAAGCGUGGGGAGCAAACAGGAUUAGAUACCCGAGUAGUCCCUGUCUCUUAUAA
rnacentral:rRNA from 1 species